AUGUCAGGAUCACUGAAUUCAAAUAUUGGUGGGGAUUCAACAGGAAGGCCAUUCACAUCAACCUUUUCUGGUCAGUCUGGAUCAUUUCCUAAUUUCCAUCACUCUGGCUUGCAUAAUAUCCACGGAAAUCUCAAUCUUGCAUCACUAUCGCCAAGGAAUGCUUCAUUGUCAGGUAUUCCAUCCCCAGGUGUUCAACAACCUGGGGGCAAUAUUUCUGGUAGCCGGUUUCCUUCAAAUAACCUUCCAGUGUCCAUGUCUCAGAUUUCUCAUGGCCAUUCUGGGAUCAGCAACAGAGGAGGUAUGAAUGUUGGGGGGAAUGCUGUAUUUAGUAGUAGCAUGAAUGCUAUUGGUGGUUCAGCACAAGGUUUAUCCUCAAGCAUGGCUAAUGUUGGUAAUCGAAAUUCUGCUCCUGGGUUGACAGCUUCUUCAGUUUUGGGGAACUUAGGCCCACGGAUAACAAAUUCUGCGGGCAAUAUAGUGGGUGGCAGCAGUAUUGGCAGAAGCAUAAGCUCAGCAGGAAUGUCCAUGCCUGGUAUUUCAUCCCGUAUCAAUUCUAGCGGCAACUCUGGAAGUGGGGCUCUUAAUAUCCCAUCCAAUCGACUGAGUGGUAUGCAUCAAGCGUCGCCACAGUUCAUGAACAUUCUUGGGAGUUCUUAUCCAACACCUGGAGGAACGCUAUCUCAGAACCAAGUUCAGGCAGGAAACAAUUCUUUUAGUUCUUCUGGAAUGCUACAUGACGGAAACUCUGGUGACAAUUCUCCGUUUGACAUAAAUGAUUUUCCCCAGUUAACUGGGCGUCCUAAUUCUGCUGGAGGUGGUCAAGGGCAAUAUGGGUCACUGCGAAAGCAAGGAGUAAGUGUAAAUGCCAUUGUGCAACAAAACCAGGAGUUCAGCAUUCAGAAUGAAGAUUUUCCAGCUUUACCAGGAUAUAAAGGCAAUUCGUCAGAUUAUGGUAUGGAUUUGCAUCACAAGGACCACCUUCAUGAGAAUGCAAAUAUUAUGCAGGCACAACAUUUUCCUAUGGGUAGAUCAUCUGGCUUUAAUUUGGGAGGUAGCUAUCCACCCCGCCAACAACAGCAGCAGAGCACUACUUCGGUUCAAAAUGGUCUUGAUAAUAUUGGGCUAAGGCCGAUAAAUUCUCCAAGUCCGUCUUCUAAUUCAGGGUCUUAUGAGCAACUCAUCCAGCAAUACCAUCAACCACAGACUCAGAAUUCACUUAGGUCGCAGACGUCUUCGGGCCAACAGCCAUCUAAGGAUCAGAGUCAAAAGUCUGCUCAGGGAAAAGAAACUGUGCCAGACCCAUAUAGUUUACUUGGAUUGUUGAACUUAAUAAAAUCAAAAGAGCCUGGACCAACAGCUCUUGCUUUAGGGCUUGAUUUAACUACACUAGGGCUGAAUUUGAACUCUCCAGAUUGUCUUUGGAAGACAUUUGGCUCUCCAUGGUCAAAUGAACCAGCUAAAGGAGAACCUGAUUAUCAGAUCCCUGCUUGUUAUUCUGCUGAGCAACCUCCACCACUGCAGCCAUUCAAUUUUCCAAAGUUUCACCCCUUGACACUAUUCUACAUCUUCUACAGUAUGCCGAAGGAUGUUGCUCAGUUAUAUGCCGCGAAUGAACUAUAUAACAAAGGGUGGUUUUACCAUAGAGAGUAUCGUGUGUGGCUCACACGAGCUUCAAAUGUGGCGCCUCUUGUGAAAACUCCACUGUAUGAACGAGGAUCCUACAUUUGUUUUGAUCCCAACCUGUGGGAUACAAUUCAGAAGGACAACUUUGUGCUCCAAUAUGAAUCUGUAGAGAAGAGACCUGUCCUCCCUUCCGCCAGCCAAAAUGUUAGAUUAUAA
rnacentral:rRNA from 1 species